GAAUUGACGGGGACCCGCACAAGCGGUGGAGCAUGUGGUUUGAUUCGAAGCAACGCGAAGAACCUUACCAGGUCUUGACAUCCCGCUGCCCGGUAUAGAGAUAUACCUUUCCCUUCGGGGACAGCGGUGACAGGUGGUGCAUGGUUGUCGUCAGCUCGUGUCGUGAGAUGUUGGGUUAAGUCCCGCAACGAGCGCAACCCUUGAUCUUAGUUGCCAGCAUUCAGUUGGGCACUCUAAGGUGACUGCCGGUGACAAACCGGAGGAAGGUGGGGAUGACGUCAAAUCAUCAUGCCCCUUAUGACCUGGGCUACACACGUGCUACAAUGGACGGUACAGAGGGUUGCCAACCCGCGAGGGGGAGCCAAUCCCAUAAAACCGUUCCCAGUUCGGAUUGCAGGCUGCAACUCGCCUGCAUGAAGCCGGAAUCGCUAGUAAUCGUGGAUCAGCAUGCCACAGGUGAAUACGUUCCA
rnacentral:rRNA from 1 species